CAGCACCACAAGUGGUCAGGAUGAUUAUUGGGCCUAAAGCAUCCGUAGCCGGCUCUGUAAGUAUUCGGUUAAAUCUGUACGCUCAACGUACAGGCUGCCGGGAAUACUGCAGAGCUAGGGAGUGGGAGAGGUAGACGGUACUCGGUAGGAAGGGGUAAAAUCCUUUGAUCUAUUGAUGACCACCUGUGGCGAAGGCGGUCUACCAGAACACGUCCGACGGUGAGGGAUGAAAGCUGGGGGAGCAAUCCGGAUUAGAUACCCGAGUAGUCC
rnacentral:rRNA from 1 species